rnacentral:tRNA from 1 species
GUUGUUGACCAGGGCGUCGAUGGGCCCCGCCGUCUCGAACGCGGCGGCGAUGCUCUCGGGCUCGGUCACAUCGAGCGCGACGACGC